rnacentral:lncRNA from 1 species
GAUAUUUCAUAUUAAUGAGUUUUAUACUUGUAGAACUCAUUGAAUUGAUAUAACGUUUUAAAGAAAAUGUAACGUGGCAAGUUCUAAUUAAAUAUUAUGUACAAUCUAUUUUAUUCUUCAAAACAUAGGUUUAAAAAAUAAGUAUCUAUUUUAAUUGAUUUAUUUUAGAUUAAAAGUUUGAUGAUUUGGUGUGGACUGGUGAAGCACAUUAUUGAUUAUUGAUAUUAAAUAAAUUUUACAUAUUAACUGAGGGCUACCACUUUAUUUUUUAUUGAAAUGUUAUUUGAUCCAACGAAGAUGUUGCUCUGUCGAUCUGGUGCUCUGCAGAUAUUUAUUGAACUCAUUAUUAGUACCAAGGAAUACUUUGUUUUUACUCAUUGGUAAUUUAAAUCAGUAUUAGAGUUUGGAGUAUGCAACAAUAACGUAAAUUGAAAUAUAAAACACGAAAACUCUUCAAAGCAACCCUUAAAAUAUUAUGCUUGAAUAUUAAAUAGACCUAUUGUCAUCAAUCAUCCCAUCGGGUAUAAUUAAUAGUGAUACAAAUUAAUUUCUUAAAAAAUUGCCAUCAUGUUUAAUGGAUCAAUAUAUUAAUAUUUAUUUUUGUUCAAAUUACACGACUGCAUCAACAUCAUAAUUUACGUCCUUUUUAAAUGACAAUUAUACUAUCUUGAAUACGAUUCUUAAAAACAAUUUAUUUAAUCUCUCUCCCGAUUCAGCAUGUCUGAUGGUGUUGACAACCCUCCUCUGCCUAAUCCUAGUCAUUGUCUCCUGAUCUGAAGGUUGCCAAUCAGUGAGAAUGAUUUCAACGUUUUCAAUGUCAACACGUCUAAUAUCUCUCAGAUGAUUUGCCUAACACUGAUGUAAUAGUUGGCUCCGCUGAGUUGUUUGUACAACCGAAUAUGUUUACAAUGUUAUCGGACUGGGAUAUCAAAAGUAGACGAAGUCUUCAUCUGCUCCAUCCUGUAAGUACUUGUCAAUAUCGGCUACAUUGAAUGGAGAAGAAUGAAAAUGAAAGUAAAUUUGGCAUGCCAAACACUUUCGAGAAGUGUUGCAGAUGUUUUCGACAUACUCUCAAAAGAUCUUCAAUAUCGGAAUAUAUUAGGAAGCUCAACUAAAUCCCCAUUAAGAACAUCCAACUAUGAUUAUUGGCGCCCUCUCUUGGAAUCAAGCUACAAGUAUAUCAAAGAAUUAAAAACUUGCUGUGGUCAAAAAGUUGUUAAUACAAUCCAAAAAAUAGGAUAUGUUGGAUUUUUGAUUGCAAUUCAGAGUUUUAUACAAUUAUAUAAUUAUUUUAUAGAAACAAAUUGUCUAAAAUAUAUUCUAAUAUACAAAUUCAG